GACGAACGCUGGCGGCGUGCCUAAUACAUGCAAGUCGAGCGGAUGACGGAGGAGCUUGCUCCUCCUGAUUCAGCGGCGGACGGGUGAGUAACACGUGGGCAACCUGCCCUGUAGAUUGGGAUAACUCCGGAAAACCGGGGCUAAUACCGAAUAAUCCUUCGGACCUCAUGGUCCGAUGUUGAAAGACGGCAUCUCGCGGUCACUACAGGAUGGGCCCGCGGCGCAUUAGCUAGUUGGUGAGGUAACGGCUCACCAAGGCGACGAUGCGUAGCCGCACUGGGAGGGGGAGCGGCCACACUGGGACUGAGACACGGCCCAGACUCCUACGGGAGGCAGCAGUAGGGAAUCUUCCACAAUGGACGAAAGUCUGAUGGAGCAACGCCGCGUGAGUGAAGAAGGUUCUCGGAUCGUAAAACUCUGUUGUGAGGGAAGAACAAGUACCGGAGUAACUGCCGGUGCCUUGACGGUACCUCAUUAGAAAGCCACGGCUAACUACGUGCCAGCCGCCGCCGUAAAAC
rnacentral:rRNA from 1 species